rnacentral:lncRNA from 1 species
CCCCCACCCCCUGCAGCACGGAACCCCCCGGGUGCCAGGGACUGAUUUCCAGCCUCACUAAAGCAGCAAUGCAAUACUGGAGAGCAACAGGCGAUCCCCCACUCCAGUAUUUACGUGCUGCUAGAGCACUGCUGACAGCUCUCCAGCCCCGUGCAUCUCCCCACAGCCUCUAACCCCCACCCAUCCACCCCCCAAAUCAGAGGGAGAUGGGAAAAGGCUGAACAUGGAGCAAUAUUGCUCUGGAGGUGCUGCUCCACCCGGGAUAGACUCAAAUUGCACAGGAGGAGCAGAGAGCCCUUCCUGCACAACCACCCCACAGACAGGUGUACCUGCACAUCCCCGUGCACCUGAGCUAAGGGGUAUGGGGACAUGUCAGCCUCCACCCCUAUGGUAACCAGAAGCUCACUUUCUUGUCUUAUCCUUGAGGUAAUGAGGCAGCCCAGAAUGGUCUGUAUCUCCUUGUCCCUACAAACCAUGAUGUGCUGCUACAUCUCCUCAAAGCCCACUGAAUGUUGGCAUUCCAAAUGGUAUUUUGGUUAUUAUUAUUGUUAUUAUUAUUUUUAACUCAUGACAUAAGGCACUGAUGAACACUCUACACGAAGACAUGAACAUGCAUGCAUUACCACCUCGGGACUUUUGUGUUGCUUUGGGUUUUUUCCUUCCCGGUGCUAUCAGCCUGCAACUACAAAGAACAAGCAGUUACACAGUGCAGACAGAAAUACCCCAUUCCCCCACCCCAAACCCACAGUGCUGGGGCAUGGCACAGCUGCACCCCCAGAGCUUGUGAGGGGAAUGAUCCACUGUCUUUCAUUCUACCCUUAGGGGUUGCAGUGCAUCAGCUGUUGGCCAGGAAUCACAGCGCCAGCAGCUGAAUGCACAGCUUGGCAGGACAGAGCUGCCUGCAUGUCCUUAAACUGCUGGAGGGAAAGGGAGGGAAGGAAAGAAAGAGAGAAGGGAGGGAAGGAGGGAAAGAAGCUGGGAGAUCUGUGUUUUUCCUAUAGCUGACAUGAUGCUCAUGUACUUUUGGAAUGAACCAACCAUCUGCAACCAGAAAACAAAGCUCCAUCCCUCCAUCACUCACUGUGCAGGGCAGAGGCUGAGGCUGCAGCACAGAGCGCCCAGACCUGUGCAGACAGCCCAGACUUUUGUGUUUCCUCUCAGUUUUUGUUUUAUGUCAUGUGACAACUUCCUUCAAUUCAUUUUCCCUAAAAGCAGCGUCACAGCAGCACGGGACGACGGCAGCAGCCAGGCCUGUCCCACAGGGAGCUCAGCCCACACCUCUCCCCGUGCUGCUCUGCCCCUUUAGCAAACCAAAGAACAGGAUUUCAAGAGCCCUCCCAGCCCGUGCCAGGUUAUUGGAAACAGCCAAUUAAAUAUCUGC